GACGAACGCUGGCGGCGUGCUUAACAUAUGCAAGUCGAACGGAAAGGCCCUGCUUUUGUGGGGUGCUCGAGUGGCGAACGGGUGAGUAACACGUGAGUAACCUUCCCUUGACUUUGGGAUAACUUCAGGAAACUGGGGCUAAUACCGGAUAGGAGCUCCUGCUGCAUGGUGGGGGUUGGAAAGUUUUGGCGGUUGGGGAUGAACUCGCGGCUUAUCAGCUUGUUGGUGGGGUAGUGGCUUACAAAGGUUUUGACGGGUAGCCGUACUGAGAGGGUGACCGGCCACAUUGGUACUGAAAUACGGCCCAGACUCCUACGAGAGGCAGCAGUGGGAAAUAUUGCAAAAUCGGCGGAAACCUGAUGCAGCAACGCCGCGUGCAGGAUGACGGCCUUCGGGUUGUAAACCGCUUUCGCCUGUGAAGAAGAGUGAGUGACGGUAAUGGGUAAAGAAGCACCGGAUAACUACAUG
rnacentral:rRNA from 1 species